UGCGUAUGCUGAGCUGCAUCGAGCUCAGACAGAGACGGACUGAGAAGCAAAAACACUGAGUGGAGUGGAUACGGUGGGCAUAAUCUGACGACAGAAUCCAAACAAUUUCAGGCCUCUAUUCGACAUUUUUUGACAGGCUUCAUCCAUCAAGCAGAGAAGACCGACAUGACUAGCAUCAGACAGGAAAUAAUUUAUACACAAAACCUCAAGUACGCCCUGAAAGUGUGAUGGUUUUAAGAUAAGAUAAAAGGAGUGUCACAACAGCAUCCCUUGAAUUUUAAAAGCAAUUUUGUUGGACUUCUGGUGCUUGUUCCUCUUUAGCUCUCUGAACUUACUCAGAAGGAUAUUUUUUCUUCUUGCUAAGGAGGUCUGUGCAAAUAUUUGUAGACCAUGUUUGGCAGCUAUGAGAGAUGGAGGACACCUUAAGACAAGCUUGUUUAAACUCUGACCUUUUACUUUAUCUUCUGGUUUGAUGGUGAAGUGUCAGCUUUUUGAUUACUGGCGGCAUAUAAGUCAAUUUAGUGCAGCUUUGCUUGUUAACGUAACCCUUGUGGUGCACCUCAGUUUACUCUUGCAACAGUUUGUUGUUCUCUGCCUUUUAGAGAAGGGAAUAUAUGUUCAUACUUCAGAAAAACACUCGCAGGCAUUGCAGCCUGCAGUUAAUCAACCAUUUCACAGUUCAGUAAAAUGAGCUUAGCUUUCCAUGCAUAUAUCUUGCUUAAAAGUAUAUUUUCACUGUAAACAAGCAUGAAUGGGAGGAGAUAAAAUAUCUAUAUUCAACAAACAUGACUAAAACAAACAAAAAACUCAAAUAUAUUUUUGAAUACUAGAUCAAAAAGUGGUUGUUUUUUGCAAAUUACUAAUUGGAGAUUUAGUAAUUUUAUGGGUUAAAUUUGUAUCAAACUACUUAAAACUUUACAUUUAAGAACUUAAUAUGAUAUUUAUAUUAAGUCAAAAUAUGCUGAAUUUUAGACCAUGUAAAUAUAUCUAUGAUUAGGUCAUAAGUAUCAGCGUCUCUGUUUUUUACUUCCUGACCAUCCUGUUGCUUCCUGACUCAGGAUGAGUUUGUACUGUGACCUGUGUUAGUGUUAGUAUACCUGUAUCAUCUGUUUACACGCACCAUGGGCUGCGUCAUGUGUUCCCAAUUGGUUGAUAUGUGGACCGUGAGGGCAAGAAGGACGGGCCGCAGGGCUGUGGAGCUCAAUUCCUGCCAGCAGAUGCUCAGCGGAGGCUAUCACAGAGUGACCGGUCUCCACUACAUGUCGUCCUUCUCCGACGCCGAAGACUGCUGCGAUGACACCAGCUCAAGCAGCUCGCUCACACUGGACUGGCAGCUUCAGGGAGCUGAUGGCUGAGAUUCUUCCAGUAAGAGUUAAAUGUAAUGAUUUAAAAUGCAAUGUAUUUACAAUAAAAAUGUUUCCUAAAUUGUGA